ACUCAAAUGAAUUGACGGGGGCCCGCACAAGCGGCGGAGCAUGUUGCUUAAUUCGAGGCAACGCGAAGAACCUUACCUAGAUUGAACUACGUUGGAAAAGCUACAGAGAUGUGGUGUCCUUCGGGGUCAGCGAUAGGUGGUGCAUGGCUGUCGUCAGCUCGUGUCGUGAGAUGUUGGGUUAAGUCCCGCAACGAGCGCAACCCUUGUCCUGUGUUGCCAGCGCGUAAUGGCGGGGACUCGCAGGAGACUGCCGGGGUCAACUCGGAGGAAGGUGGGGACGACGUCAAGUCAUCAUGCCCCUUAUGUCUAGGGCUGCAAACAUGCUACAAUGGCCGGUACAACGGGCUGCGACACCGCGAGGUGAAGCGAAUCCCUGAAAGCCGGUCUCAGUUCGGAUUGGAGUCUGCAACUCGACUCCAUGAAGUCGGAGUCGCUAGUAAUCCCGGAUCAGCAACGCCGGGGUGAAUACGUUCCCGGGCCUUGUACACACCGCCCGU
rnacentral:rRNA from 1 species